GACGAACGCUGGCGGCGUGCUUAACACAUGCAAGUCGAACGGAAAGGCCCUGCUUUUGUGGGGUGCUCGAGUGGCGAACGGGUGAGUAACACGUGAGUAACCUGCCCUUGACUUUGGGAUAACUUCAGGAAACUGGGGCUAAUACCGGAUAGGAGCUCCUGCUGCAUGGUGGGGGUUGGAAAGUUUCGGCGGUUGGGGAUGGACUCGCGGCUUAUCAGCUUGUUGGUGGGGUAGUGGCUUACCAAGGCUUUGACAGGUAGCCGACCUGAGAGGGUGACCGGCCACAUUGGGACUGAGAUACGGCCCAGACUCCUACGGGAGGCAGCAGUGGGGAAUAUUGCACAAUGGGCGGAAGCCUGAUGCAGCAACGCCGCGUGCGGGAUGACGGCCUUCGGGUUGUAAACCGCUUUCGCCUGUGACGAAGCGUGAGUGACGGUAAUGGGUAAAGAAGCACCGGCUAACUACGUG
rnacentral:rRNA from 1 species